CCUACGGGUGGCAGCAGUGAGGAAUAUUGGUCAAUGGGCGCGAGCCUGAACCAGCCAAGUAGCGUGAAGGAUGACUGCCCUACGGGUUGUAAACUUCUUUUAUAAAGGAAUAAAGUGAGGCACGUGUGCCUUUUUGUAUGUACUUUAUGAAUAAGGAUCGGCUAACUCCGUGCCAGCAGCCGCGGUAAUACGGAGGAUCCGAGCGUUAUCCGGAUUUAUUGGGUUUAAAGGGAGCGUAGAUGGGUUGUUAAGUCAGUUGUGAAAGUUUGCGGCUCAACCGUAAAAUUGCAAUUGAUACUGGCAGUCUUGAGUACAGUUGAGGUAGGCGGAAUUCGUGGUGUAGCGGUGAAAUGCGUAGAUAUCAGGAGGAACACCGGCGGCGAAGGCGGCCUGCUGGACCGCGACUGACGUUGAGGCUCGAAAGCGUGGGGAGCGAACAGGAUUAGAUACCCGAGUAGUC
rnacentral:rRNA from 1 species